GAGGAUAGGGAGGUGCAGCUCUGAAUGGGAGAGGGUCUCCGCUGGCGCUGGCCUGCGCCGGCGAGGUCGGGCGCGACCAGGCCAUUGGUGAUGGCUCGAUUCUCUCCUAGAUCGGCUUGUGCAGUGCAGUGGUGCGGCGGACGGCCCUCGUGCAGUGGCCUCAGCGGGUGGGCGACGACACCUGCAGCUGGUGCACAAUGGCGACGGCAUGCAGCUCCUGUGCCCCGCAACACUCUCCUUCCACGCACAGCAGGAGCGGGAGCAAGGAUGCUGAGGCAAUAGUUCAGCAUUGCCAUGGUGAGCUGCUGCUGUAGUGCUUUAUAAUUUUUUGGCCCCUUCCUAGAUGUUCGCAGCCUGAUGGUUCUGCACAAUUGGUAGGAGCAGCGAAUGUGCUCAUGUAAGCUCAUUACCUUGAUUAGCGGCGGCGCCGCUCCUCCUCAAGGCCACGGGUGAAGCAGCAGCGGCGCCGCUCCUCCUCAUGGCGAUGGCCACAUCCUCCUCCACACCUCCUUUGCACGCGCUUCCCGCUUCCGCUUGCUCGUUCUCCGGGUGUUGUAGUCAGAACAGGCAGGGUGGAGAGGGCACACAAAAGCUAGGCAGGCCACAGACAACAGUGUGCUGCAGACUUGAGUGAGGACAACAGUGAGUGACACUGGACGAAUCCGUCCUGGUCGAGCCCCCACCCAGACGGCUACCUGCAGAGGAGAUGUCAAGGACAGCUCCCAGUUCGUGGCGGAGACACCAGCACAGAUAGGGUUUGGGUGAGGGUUGAUUCCUACCCUGAUGGCAGCAACCCUCCUUCCGCAACCUUGCCCGCCGAGUGCACUGAGCUGUUUUGCUGUACAAAGAGCCUCUCCUUUUCAAUGUACCAUGGUGUCCCUUUCCAUGCUAGCUCUAAACUUCUGCCCUCAUCAUUCCCAUGGUGUCUAAGAAAAUCAUAGGGAAGAGGCUCUAGGAGAGGGGGUUUGGUUUUACUUUUCUGGUUUUGCAACACGAUGCGACGAAUUUCUCCUGCAUGACUAAUAUGAAGACGCUGGCUAGCUCGCAUUGCCAUCAUAUAUUCUAGAAGCAAGAGCAAGGAUUAUAGCGAAAAUAAAGGUACAAUGCUCCCAAUAUAUUUUACCUUUUUGGCGAAGUUUUGGUGCUUGCGGAAGAAAAUAACACCAUCAUUAUACCUACUGCUCAUUUUUUAUUCAGGCAAUUAGCCAUCAGUAGGAAAUGCCAACUAAUUGUACUUUCUCUGUUGCAGAGGUGAAAUUAGUACUGCUUUUCUAAAGCUUUUUUUGUUGCAUGUUCCCCUUUCUUAAUCUUCUGUUUGUUCAAAUGUAUGUCUGUGCUUAUAAUCAUUAUUACACGAUGAAUCUCACCAUGCUAUCAUUUCCUGAAAAUUUAUGCUCGCAUAGUGACGUUUUUCAUAUGGGUGAUACUUCUGUUGCCCUCAUUUGGUGCGCAUAUAGACUAUUCUCUACUGUUUCCACAUCUACAAUUUAUUGUUUGAAGGCAAAGAAAAUUGCAGCAUGAACAUGAAGACAAUUUAGCUUUAGACAAGACCAUCCUAAAUCAAUAUGAAGCGUGUUGGUGAGGGCACAUAAGCAGGUAGUGUUUAAUUCUGCCAGAUGUCAAGGGUUAGUUAAGGGUUACCUUUCAUGUCCUUGCCGAAAAAACGACACUCUGAGCUCACACAUGCAUUGCUAGGUCUACACACAUGGAUUUUUAUCCUGUGGGUGCACAUCUAUUUUGUUGGUGAAGGAAGUGAUAUCUGAGAGGGAGGUUAGCAGAAAACAAAUUGCUGCUACUUAGGUUUCCACAUCGCUCCACUCUUCAGUUUAAAUUUUCGAAGGUUGAAGGCAAACAAUAUGUGAGCCAGAAUUUCCAGAUUCCAAUAAUAUAGUAGCUAUUCAUGCAAUGGGCUGAGCUUUCACUUUCAUUUACAUUUUUUCUUCGAGCGAAACACGCAAAACUAGAAACUGGGGUUCGCUGUUUUAAUUUAUUGCCAAGAGGAUAAACAAGCUAUUUUAUGUUCUACGCUUGUGCUAACAGGCGUUAGUUGUAUAGUUAAAAUAAAAUGGUUGAGCACGUGCACUAUAUAUAGAGAGAUAGUUGAUAGCAGCAUAUAAACUUUGGACAAUCACCUUUGGUUUAUAGCCUAAAAAAAUACUUUUUAUUGUUAUCAUACAAUAUAUAUAAAUUUUGUAAAUUUGGCUGUACCAAUAUUUAGGUAUAUGCUGAUAACAAAGGGGUUGGAGUGGUGCCCUGUGGUGACAGCCGACAGUGGAGAAAGAUGUGAGCGCCCACCUCUUCGAACUACGGUUAUAUUUAUAUACGCAGGUUCCUGUUGUAGCACUUGAACUGAGCUACUUCUAGCAAUUUUUUGGUCUAUUUGGCGAUUUUUGUACUCAUGAAUCGUUAAUGGCAUUACAAAGAUGGAUCUUUUCGAAUAUUUUCAAACCUCCAAGAGAAUCAGAUUUCAGUUUAGUAUUAUAAGGAUUGGAAUGGUAAAUGCAUCAGUACUGUUGGGCUUUCUUAAAUGCUGUUGGGUUUUCUUAAAUGUUGUUUGGGGUUUGGUGGUGGUAGCGAAAAAAACACGACAUAUUUUAAUUUUUUGUUCCUACCGGAAAACUAGGAGAGGUGGCGCAAACAUGAUGGCCAAACCUGUGGUGCUUUGCAAGGUAUCUAAUAUGGCUAAAUGCGUAACGAAAAGGUCUGUCUUCCUAGCCUCAUAGAUCCAACAGUAGCACGAAUAAGCAAAGGAUAUUUGUUUUCAAAGCCUCUGUUACGAGUGAAAUGCGGCAAUGGAAGCAAGGAAUCGUGGCUUACUUCUAUUCGGAUUCCAUAUCUACUAGGACAAUCCUGAUAUCCUUCUCAUCAUUUAUAUUUGAUUCUUUGGAGAUUCAUAAAGAAGGAAUGCAUCCACAAUCUUGGUAUAAAAUUUGUUUGGAUGGUUCAGAAUCUUUAGAUGGCAUGGAUGAGACAUAAUUUGUUGUAUUCAGAUAUUUUUCAUGGUUACAGUGUCUGAGCAUGACAAGCAGCAAAGAGGGAGGGGAUUUCAAAUACAAAGCAAAAUGUGCACAAAAUAGAUGCGGCUCACAAUGUCAUAGCAUAGACUGGAACAAAAUAUACAUUGUGUAUAUAUAAUUACUACUAUUAUCCAGUGCUCACUAUUUAUGUUCACAUAGAUACAUUGUAGCAACAACAUACCUGGUAUUGUGGAUAAUGACCACUCCAUUGCCACAACUAUAGAAUACACCAGACUGGCCAAAAGUGCUCCAUUGCCUCAACUGUAGAAUACAUCGGACUGGCCAAAAGUUGUCCAUGGCCACAACUAUAGAACACACCAGACUGACCAAAAGAUGCCUGCAUAUGGCCAAUAACUACAUAUAUGCUUUCCUGGACCAUGGUUUGCUGUUUCGCCAGUGUUACCUGACAAAAAAAAAUCAAAAAUCACUGUCACCUCUUUUUCUGAAUCAGAAGAUGGCUGACUGUCUGAUAUACUACUAGAAAAAAUCGAAGCCCAAAAAGCAUGAAUGAAUGAUGGAUCUGAACCUGUACUUCAUAAAUGAUGUGCAUAUCACAAAAAAUAUGGAUGGUUAGGCUAUCAAAAUUUGGCAUAAUACAUGGCUGACGGAGAUAGUAACUUCAAAAAUUACACGGCAACCAAAACUUUAUGCAAGUCUAUGAAGAAAAUCAUAGAAUCAUUUUUCUUUAAUUAAUUUUGAAACAUACCUUCCUCUUGCAGCAGUCUUGCUCCUUCGGCCCUUCAACAACAGUUCACCGAUUAGUUUAUCAGUCGGCGGCAGCAGGCAACACGAGCGGAGAAGGUAGUGAGGGAAGGAGAAGAAGCAGCAAACAUCAGCAGACACCCCACACCCGUCGUGGCGUCCUGGAGGGCCCUCGCUACGGAUGGCAGCGGAAGUUGGCAAGGCCGGCGGCCAGCGGUUGGCAGCAGCGAGAAGCGCGAGUGAAAGACCUGGUUGAUUUGGGAAAGGGAGGAGAACAGAGGACUGGUCGAUUUAUUGAAAGAAGAACAGAUAAGGUUUGGUAGAUUUGGGGGAAAGGAGGAGAGACGAGCGUGCGUGGCAGCAGGUAGUCGGUGUAUUGGACUCAGAUAUAUUUGGGCUGGGCCAAAUGCUUAUUGUAAACUUAAUUAUCCUUUCCAAUUCUGAAAGGGUGGGUCGUGGCACCCUUUGGCCCAGAUAAGGCUGCACUGAAUGUUCUCUUAGGUGGCCUUCUGUAUGCCAGUUAGUCUAGCUGUACGUUUAUUUUUUUUUGUUUGUUUGUAUUUCUUAAAAGCUAAUGUCGUUGCAUGUUUUUUUAACCUUUUUUUUUGAUCGGAGAAAGAUGAUGCUCAGGAAAUUACUUAUUGGA